AAAUAUGGCCUUAACGGAAGCUAGUGAAGUUUAUUUAAUUGUAAAUAAUAUUCCAAAACAUUUACAUGCUUCCGAUCUCCGAAAUUUUUUUUCAGCAUUUACAGAAACUGGUGGUUUUUUAUGUUUUCACUAUCGUCACAGACCUGAAGUACAGAAGCCUUCAGAUUCUGAGCAGAAUAAUGAUUCUGAACGAUCUCGACGUGUAACUAAUUGUUGCAUUAUAAAAGUUGUUGCACAUCGUGCAGUAGAAUUUAUUAAAACUUAUAAUGGUGAGCAUUGGUUAGAUAAUAAAGGUGAAACUCUUGUUUCUUGCUGCUUCAUUAAAAAGAUAAUUUUAUCGGAAGAAACUGAUUCGGUGGCUACAGGUUCAACAUCUUGUAAAAGAGGAACUAUUAAUGCAAAUUUACCACUUCAUCGAGAGAAAUUCACUCGCAGUGAUUUGGACUCAUUAAUUGAGAUGCAUCCUCCAACAUUCAUGCCUAAUGGAAAUGUAGGAACAAAAACAAGUCAUUUUCUUGAACAAAUCAAAGCUUGCAGGUUACCUCCGUCCCUUAUCUCCAAACUUGGUCUACAGUUUCCCAGAAAUCGAUCUAAAAGAAUUUAUGGAAAUGUACCCUUUGAAUACAAAAAGAGCAAAAAUUCUUCAAAUGCUACUACUUCUUUCAUGCCAAAAGUGCUAGACAACAUCCAUUCUAAAGAAUCUUGGAGUUUUCAUAAAAAUACUGAUAUAAUUAAAUCUUCAGAGCAGAAAAAUGAGGAAUCAGAAUCUGAGGAGGAAGAGUGGGAUCGACAUGAGGCCCUUCAUGAGGAUGUCACAGGGCAGGAAAGAACAAAAGAAAGACUUUUUGAAGAGGAAAUUGAACUAAAAUGGGAGAAGGGUGGCUCUGGUUUAGUUUUCUAUACAGAUGCACAGUUCUGGGAUGCUCAAGAAGGAGAUUUUGAUGCCAAGACUGCAGAUGACUGGGAUAUUGAUAUGAGCAUAUACAAUGAUUUUGGACCAGCUAAUGACAAAGAUUCACAAGAUUUGGCAAGAAUGCGACUUGAAAGGAAUUUGAGGGAUGGGACAGAAGCAGAAAUAGAUAAUCAAUAUGAUUUUGCAGCAUUUGAAAAAUACAGUACAGGAUUUGGAAGAAAGAUUUUAGAAUCUCAAGGAUGGAAGCAAGGGCAAGGAAUUGGUAAACAUGCAGCUGGUAUACCUGAACCUAUUCUUAAUGAUGGACAACAUCCUUUAGAUAAGAAGGGAUUUGGAUGUCAUCUUACCAGAUUUAAAUAGAUGAUCUAUAAUCCGGAAAAACCCCUAAUCCGGAAUCGCCGAAAUCCCGACGAGUCCGGAUUAAAGACUUUGUACUGUACCAGCUUUACAGUUUUAAAUAUUCGUAUGGAAGAUUUAUAAUGUGUAUUUCCUGAAUGAAUGCUAUGUAUCGAGGAGAAAAAUUGAAUCAUCAUCCCACACGUGAACACAGGAAAAGAAAACGUAGACAUUCUGAUGAUGAUAAUCCUUUUUUCAUAUCAACUAUAUAUGAUAAUCCUAAAGAAUCAGAUCCUCCAGAAACAGUU
rnacentral:misc_RNA from 1 species